AUGAACGCUGGCGGCGUGCCUAAUACAUGCAAGUCGAGCGAACAGACGAGGAGCUUGCUCCUUUGACGUUAGCGGCGGACGGGUGAGUAACACGUGGGUAACCUACCUAUAAGACUGGGAUAACUUCGGGAAACCGGAGCUAAUACCGGAUAAUAUUUCGAACCGCAUGGUUCGAUAGUGAAAGAUGGCUUUGCUAUCACUUAUAGAUGGACCUGCGCCGUAUUAGCUAGUUGGUAAGGUAACGGCUUACCAAGGCAACGAUACGUAGCCGACCUGAGAGGGGGAUCGGCCACACUGGAACUGAGACACGGUCCAGACUCCUACGGGAGGCAGCAGUAGGGAAUCGUCCGCAAUGGGCGAAAGCCUGACGGAGCAACGCCGCGUGAGUGAUGAAGGUCUUCGGAUCGUAAAACUCUGUUAUUAGGGAAGAACAAACGUGUAAGUAACUGUGCACGUCUUGACGGUACCUAAUCAGAAAGCCACGGCUAACUACGUG
rnacentral:rRNA from 1 species